rnacentral:piRNA from 1 species
UGGAAACCACACUCUUGUCAUUUCUGAAG